UGCCUACGGGGCGCAGCAGUGAGGAAUAUUGGUCAAUGGCCGAGAGGCUGAACCAGCCAAGUCGCGUGAGGGAAGACGGCCCUACGGGUUGUAAACCUCUUUUGUCGGGGAGCAAAGCGAGUCACGUGUGACUCAUUGAGAGUACCCGAAGAAAGAGCAUCGGCUAACUCCGUGCCAGCAGCCGCGGUAAUACGGAGGAUGCGAGCGUUAUCCGGAUUUAUUGGGUUUAAAGGGUGCGUAGGCGGAAUGCCAAGUCAGCGGUAAAAUCGCGGGGCUCAACCUCGCUCCGCCGUUGAAACUGGCGU
rnacentral:rRNA from 1 species